AACCCUCGCUGUGUGUUAUAUGUGUCACACGGGACUGCCGGUCCGUUUAAAGCCCGGAGGAAGGUGGGGAUGAUGUCAAGUCAGCAUGGCCUUUAUAUCCUGGGCUACACACACGCUACAAUGGCCAACACAAUAGGUUGCUAAGCCGCGAGGUGGCGCCAAUCCAUAAAGUUGGUCUCAGUUCAGAUUGUAGGCUGCAACCCGCCUGCAUGAAGAUGGAGUUGCUAGUAACCGCAGGUCAGCUAUACUGCGGUGAAUACGUUCCCGGGGCUU
rnacentral:rRNA from 1 species